UCUUUCAAUUGAGGGGAUUUUUUGUGGAGUGGGAAUGGAAGAAGUGAGUGAGAUGGUACUUCUCUUUCAAGCUGAUGCAAAGACCACCACCAUCUUCUGUACUUCUACACCACGGACCAGAUCGAAGCUGUCGUCGCCGAUGAUGAGCUCCUAAAUCGAGACAUGGGGAAGGCUCGGGUCGAAGCUGUCGCAGAUGGAGGUCUCGGGUUGGGCUUCGGAGGCGUGCAGCUUGGAUUCGCUAUUGCAGUCGAUGAUGAUCGCGGAGGAUUAUGGUGACAGCUGACGGAGAUUGCUUGGAUGUUUCAUCCAUUUUGGAGAUUGAUUGAGGUAAAAUUGAUUGAAGAAGACGGUGGAUUCUAAAGAGUAGGCGGCUCUGAUGGGUAGGAUAAAGUUAAACGGUAGAAUGUGUUGAAAGUGUGUACUAUCGCAGUGCGCCAAAUCCUUUAAUUGGCCGAGAUUUUGAAACUGAGUCAAGAUGACAUAUUUGUAUUGAUUAGUAAAUAUUUUGUGGAGCCCAACCUAUUAUUAUAGUCGGUUUACAAUAAUGUAAGUAUAAUUUUGUUAUUCUGUACUUAAAUGAGUACUAAUGAUAUUUAGAUC